rnacentral:rRNA from 1 species
GACGAACGCUGGCGGCGUGCUUAACACAUGCAAGUCGAACGAAAAGAGGGAAAGAGCUUGCUCUUUCCGGAAUUGAGUGGCAAACGGGUGAGUAACACGUAAACAACCUGCCUUCAGGAUGGGGACAACAGACGGAAACGACUGCUAAUACCGAAUAAGUUCCAAGAGCCGCCUGGCCCAUGGAAGAAAAGGUGGCCUCUACCUGUAAGCUAUCGCCUGAAGAGGGGUUUGCGUCUGAUUAGCUGGUUGGAGGGGUAACGGCCCACCAAGGCGACGAUCAGUAGCCGGUCUGAGAGGAUGAACGGCCACACUGGAACUGAGACACGGUCCAGACUCCUACGGGGGGCAGCAGUGGGGAAUCUUCCGCAAUGGGCGAAAGCCUGACGGAGCAACGCCGCGUGAGUGAUGACGGCCUUCGGGUUGUAAAACUCUGUGAUCCGGGACGAAAAGGCAGAGUGCGAAGAACAAACUGCAUUGACGGUACCGGAAAAGCAAGCCACGGCUAACUACGUG